UAGCCAAAAGGAGAAUAAGAAAACUGAGCGAAUCCUCAAAGAGAGUCGGGACCUGGCACGUUCAUCGAGAGGCUGCAGAGGAACGUCCAAGAAACGGUUGAAAAGGCAACAACUUUGAAUCAGACUUUGUAUGAAGAUUUCCAGCUGCCCAGCUUGAUGCUUGAGAAUAUGCAGCAGAACAUUUCAUCUUUGCUCAAAACCAUACAGAAAAGGCACUUCAUGCAGUUGCACCAAAAUGUCACCCUGGAACUCAAGGCUGCUCAAGACUUACUGUCAUAAAUUCAGAAAGCAUACCAGAAGCCACAGGAAGAGUUGGAAGUGUUGAAAGAAAUAGCAAGCCGGCUCCUGGCCGAGCACAGUGGACAGCUGCAGGCGGCCAGGACACUAGUGAAGGACGCAGAGGGAAAGAGCCAGGAAAGCGACCGUCUGCUGCUCGUGGCCAGCGCCAACCUGAGAGAGUUUGAGGUAUUGCAUCGGAACUGAGUAAAUUGAGAAAUACAGCAAACAUUUCAAAAGAACGCUGAUAAAAUUACCAGGCAGACCAAUGAAUCACUCUCAAUACAUAGAGCAAUUCCUGAAGAUGUGGGACACCAAGGAGCCAGAACUAAAGAGCUGGCCACAUCUGUAAACAGGAGCGCUGUGAGCACGCUGGCAGAUGUGGCAGGGGGUUGAGCUGGAAGCUGCUCGACACGUCGACUGGCCUGUCCGGGGUCAACGCCACAUUGCGAGAGACAAACAAGCUCCUGCAUGACUCGAACC